rnacentral:pre_miRNA from 1 species
CUUCACACCGUGGAUGUCAUCGUGGCCGUACAUGAAUCGUCCCCCACAUCCAGCUCUGUUCAAUUUCAGGCAAAGUGGACGUUUCAUUGUACGGCCUGAUGACAUCCACGGCGUGGCU